GUCCACGCUGUAAACGAUGGGUACUAGGUGUCGCGGGUAUUGACCCCUGCGGUGCCGUCGCUAACGCAUUAAGUACCCCGCCUGGGAAGUACGGCCGCAAGGCUAAAACUCAAAGGAAUUGACGGGGCCCGCACAAGCGGUGGAGUAUGUGGUUUAAUUCGACGCAACGCGCAGAACCUUACCCAGUCUUGACAUCCUGAUGAAGCCCUAGAAAUAGGGAACUACUCUUCGGAGAUUCAGAGACAGGUGCUGCAUGGCUGUCGU
rnacentral:rRNA from 1 species